rnacentral:lncRNA from 10 species
UUUGGAGUAUGGCAGAUUUUAGAAAAAUUUGUAAAGAAGGAAUUAUCAGUUUCUGCUUACUGUAGAUACCCAUGCCCUCCUAAAUUUGGAGAGAUCCUCACUCCAUUUUGGAAGCAUUCCCUUCUGAAAUUGUCAUGUAUUGACUCUUCACUAUCUCUCCCGGUAGACGUGUUGGGUUUGCUUGCUGUCUCCACCGAGCUGACGUGUGAUGUCUGCAGCGCGAGUCAAAGCCACCUCGCAAAGGCAGCCGUGUUCCCUGCCUUGACAUCUCAUCCCUCGUCCUUACUCAGAUCUCGUCAGCCUACACGGUCUGCUCCUCCAACAGCUAAUAGCGAAAUGACUGCGGGGAAGGCAAUGACAGCAAUCGCUGUUCAGCAUUUAUUUUACCUUUGAUUUUUUGCUGCACAUAAAAUUCCAGGCCUGAGCUGCGGGGCAGACAUAGAGGAGAGUGCGGGGGCUUGGAAGAAGGUGGGACUCUGAAAUCUGCCCCUCCUCCCCCUUCAGUACAACGUAAUGUGAGCUGAGUGGUCUCUGGCAAUGAUUUAAUGCCUCCUUUGGACAUUUGCCGGUUAACAUAGCAAGAUUGACAGUGUGCAUCGUGAGUUGUAUGUAGCUACCAAGGCUCAGAGGCUGUAUAUUUCCCUAUCCUGCAUGUCAUUCCUGAGACCUUUUAUAAAUUCAGAGGCAGGACAGCAAGCUAGGCUCCUACCAUCAUCUGUGUUCUUGCUUCUUUAUUGUUCUCAGUACCAAAUGAUAUUCCAC